GCCUGCAUGAAGUCGGAAUUGCUAGUAAUCGCGGAUCAGCAUGCCGCGGUGAAUACGUUCCCGGGCCUUGUACACACCGCCCGUCACACCAUGGGAGCCGGUAAUACCCGAAGUCAGUAGUCCAACCUCGUGAGGACGCUGCCGAAGGUAGGAUUGGCGACUGGGGUGAAGUCGUAACAAGGUACC
rnacentral:rRNA from 1 species